UUUAAAUAAGACUAUUUAAUACAUUAUUUCUUUGUGGGGUGUGCUGAUAUUAAAAUUUUUAAUGAAUUUUUUGUGUCUAUAGUUGAAUUAAUCUAAUUGAUUUAGGCCUUGAAGGCAGGAGCAAGUUGAUAUGAGUGGAACCUCAUGCCAUGAACUUCCCUUGAGGACCAAGAGGAAAACUCCAAAACUCAUGCUCCAAGGAAAGAGGGGCACACUCAGCAGAACCGCUAUGGUGUGAUACAUACAUUGAAGAACAAUGAAUAUCAGGAAUGAAGACAAUUAUAACAUUACAGCUCAUUAUUUGCAGCACAUCAGCAACUGAAGGUGUAAGGUCUAGAAGCCAAGCACAUCAUUGCAGUGGUGAGACCACAGAUCAGAAGUAUCAGUGUACAAACUUCCUACUUAUGGCAACUGGACAAAGUUCAGUGACUCAGAGGAAAAAGAAUUACACAAACAGGGGUCAAGUCAUUGGAGAUUUGGACACUAGAGCAAAGCAGCACCAGCAGAUCCUCUGUUAAUGGUGAAGAAACCCUUGCAGGCUGUGGUUCUGUGGCAAAACCUCUUCUGCCCAAUUCCCAUUCUGCAAACUUAAUGAAGUCUUCGAAGAACAAGGAUUUGCCAGAUAGAGAGUGCUUAGGAAGUCAGCACUUUUCUUCUUUACAGUUCAGAAAAGUUUAGAACUCUAUUUUUUCUAAAGGUUUCAUUCUGAGUUAUUUCAGUUAUUGAAUUACUAAAAGAUUCUUCUCUUUAUUUUUGGUUUCUAGUGAUUCCUUCAUCUAGAUAUAACAACAGAGUUUUACCACAGGAAUAUUGGUUACAUUGACACAUUUGGUAGAAAGAUAGGGACAUUGUGGACCCCAUGUAAAUAUUUUAGUCAACUCAUUUCAAAUCAGUGACUUUUUAUUCCAUAUCUAAUUUGUGCAAGCCACUAAGAUAGGCACUAGAAAGACUGCAAUAAUGCAUGAGACAUAAACACUGUCCUCGAGGUGAUUAAAAGACAAGUGCGCAAAUCAACAGAGCACAGGGUAGACUAAGACCUGUGCCAUAAUAGUAAUUCACCACCCUACAUGGAUCCUGAUAAUUCUGUGUGAUGUAAAUCACAGCAAUGUUUUCUUAGGUCAAUCACUCGAGACAAUAGAAACAAAAGUAAAAAUAAACAAAUGGGACCUAAUCAAACUUUUAAGUUUUUGCAGAGCAAAAGAAACCAUAAACAAAAUGUGUGGUGCCUGUACACACCCCUCCUUUGCUGUGAUAUUUUCCACAAGGAUGUACCCAUCAGCUGUUUCUGAGAUCACUAAAAAUAAAGGUCAUUAUCUUCAAUUGCAUCCUCAUUAACCAGAUUUACUGUUUUCUGUGCAUGUUUGUAAUGGUUAUAUUAUC
rnacentral:lncRNA from 1 species